UACGUAGGGGGCAAGCGUUGUCCGGAUUUAUUGGGCGUAAAGAGCGUGUAGGCGGCCAUACAGGUCAGCUGUGAAAACUCGAGGCUCAACCUCGAGACGUCGGUUGAAACCGUAUGGCUAGAGUCCGGAAGAGGAGAGUGGAAUUCCCGGUGUAGCGGUGAAAUGCGCAGAUAUCGGGAAGAACACCUAUGGCGAAGGCAGCUCUCUGGGACGGUACUGACGCUGAGACGCGAAGGCGUGGGGAGCGAACAGG
rnacentral:rRNA from 1 species